rnacentral:rRNA from 1 species
GACGAACGCUGGCGGCGUGCUUAACACAUGCAAGUCGAACGGAAAGGCCCUGCUUUUGUGGGGUGCUCGAGUGGCGAACGGGUGAGUAACACGUGAGUAACCUGCCCUUGACUUUGGGAUAACUUCAGGAAACUGGGGCUAAUACCGGAUAGAAGCUCCUGCUGCAUGGUGGGGGUUGGAAAGUUUCGGCGGUUGGGGAUGGACUCGCGGCUUAUCAGCUUGUUGGUGGGGUAGUGGCUUACAAAGGCUUUGACGGGUAGCCGGCCUGAGAGGGUGACCGGCCACAUUGGGACUGGGAUACGGCCCAGACGCAUACGGGAGGAAGCAGUGGGGAAUAGUGCAAAAUGGGCGGAAGCCGGAUGCAGGAACGCCGCGUGGGGGAUGACGGCCUUCGGGUUGUAACCCGCUUUCGCCUGUGACGAAGCGUGAGGGAGGGUAAUGGGUAAAGAAGCACGGGCUACUUACGU